rnacentral:rRNA from 1 species
AACGAUGAGUGCUAAGUGUUAGAGGGUUGCCGCCCUUUAGUGCUGCAGCAAACGCAUUAAGCACUCCGCCUGGGGAGUACGGUCGCAAGACUGAAACUCAAAGGAAUUGACGGGGGCCCGCACAAGCGGUGGAGCAUGUGGUUUAAUUCGAAGCAACGCGAAGAGCCUUACCAGGUCUUGACAUCCUCUGACAACCCUAGAGAUAGGGCUUC